CACGUAGGGCGCAAGCGUUGUCCGGAAUUAUUGGGCGUAAAGAGCUCGUAGGCGGACUGUCACGUCUGCUGUGAAAAGCUAGGGCUUAACCCUGGCCUUGCAGUGGAUACGGGCAGACUAGAGGUAGGUAGGGGAGAAUGGAAUUCCUGGUGUAGCGGUGAAAUGCGCAGAUAUCAGGAGGAACACCGGUGGCGAAGGCGGGUCUCUGGGCAACAACUGACGCUGAGGAGCGAAAGCGUGGGGAGCGAACAGG
rnacentral:rRNA from 1 species